rnacentral:rRNA from 1 species
CCUACGGGAGGCUGCAGUAAGGAAUAUUGGGCAAUGGAGGCAACUCUGACCCAGCCAUGCCGCGUGAAGGAUGACGGCCCUAUGGGUUGUAAACUUCUUUUAUACGGGAAUAAACCCGGGUACGUGUACCCGGCUGAAUGUACCGUAAGAAUAAGGAUCGGCUAACUCCGUGCCAGCAGCCGCGGUAAUACGGAGGAUCCAGGCGUUAUCGGGAUUCAUUGGGUUUAAAGGGUACUUAGGCGUCUUCGGUGAAAUCCUACAGCUUAACUGUAGAACUGCCGUUGAUACUGCAAGUCUUGAGUACAUUUGAUGUGGGCGGAAUGUGUCAUGUAGCGGUGAAAUGCUUAGAUAUGACACGGAACACCAAUUGCGAAGGCAGCUCACAAAACUGUAACUGACGCUGAGGCACGACAGCGUGGGGAUCAAACAGGAUUAGAUACCCUAGUAGUC